GACGAACGCUGGCGGCGUGCUUAACACAUGCAAGUCGAACGAAGUGGCGAACGGGUGAGUAACGCGUAAUCAACCUGCCCUUCAGAGGGGGACAACAGUUGGAAACGACUGCUAAUACCGCAUACUGAAGGAGGGGAUUGCGGCUGAUUAGGUAGGGGGGGGGGUAACGGCCAACCAAGGCGAUGAUCAGUAGCCGGUCUGAGAGGCUGAACGGCCACAUGGGGACUGUGACACGGCCCAGACUCCUACGGAAGGCAGCAGUGGGGAGUCUUCCGAAAUGGACGAAAGUCUGACGGAGCAACGCCGCGUGAGUGAUGACGGCCUGCGGGUUGUAAAGCUCUGUUAAUCGGGACGCGGUACCGGAAUAGAAGGCCACGGCUAACUACGUGCCAGCCGCCGCGGUAAUAC
rnacentral:rRNA from 1 species